rnacentral:rRNA from 1 species
UACGAAGGGGGGCUAGCGUUGCUCGGAAUCACUGGGCGUAAAGGGUGCGUAGGCGGGUCUUUAAGUCAGGGGGUGAAAUCCUGGAGCUCAACUCCAGAACUGCCUUUGAUACUGAAGAUCUUGAGUGCGGGAGAGGUGAGUGGAACUGCGAGUGUAGAGGUGAAAUUCGUAGAUAUUCGCAAGAACACCAGUGGCGAAGGCGGCUCACUGGCCCGAUACUGACGCUGAGGCACGAAAGCGUGGGGAGCAAACAGG